UCCUACGGGAGGCAGCAGUAGGGAAUCUUCCGCAAUGGACGAAAGUCUGACGGAGCAACGCCGCGUGAGUGAUGAAGGUUUUCGGAUCGUAAAACUCUGUUGUUAGGGAAGAACAAGUUGGGUAGUAACUGACCCAACCUUGACGGUACCUAACCAGAAAGCCACGGCUAACUACGUGCCAGCAGCCGCGGUAAUACGUAGGUGGCAAGCGUUGUCCGGAAUUACUGGGCGUAAAGCGCGCGCAGGUGGUUUCUUAAGUCUGAUGUGAAAGCCUACGGCUCAACCGUGGAGGGUCAUUGGAAACUGGGAGACUUGAGUGCAGAAGAGGAAAGUGGAAUUCCAUGUGUAGCGGUGAAAUGCGUAGAGAUAUGGAGGAACACCAGUGGCGAAGGCGACUUUCUGGUCUGUAACUGACACUGAGGCGCGAAAGCGUGGGGAGCAAACAGGAUUAGAUACCCUGGUAGUCCACGCCGUAAACGAUGAGUGCUAAGUGUUAGAGGGUUUCCGCCCUUUAGUGCUGAAGUUAACGCAUUAAGCACUCCGCCUGGGGAGUACGGCCGCAAGGCUGAAACUCAAAGGAAUUGACGGA
rnacentral:rRNA from 1 species